GACGAACGCUGGCGGCGUGCUUAACACAUGCAAGUCGAACGGAAAGGCCCUGCUUUUGUGGGGUGCUCGAGUGGCGAACGGGUGAGUAACACGUGGGUAACCUGCCCUUGACUUUGGGAUAACUUCAGGAAACUGGGGCUAAUACCGGAUAGGAGCUCCUGCUGCAUGGUGGGGGUUGGAAAGUUUCGGCGGUUGGGGAUGGACUCGCGGCUUAUCAGCUUGUUGGUGGGGUAGUGGCUUACCAAGGCUUUGACGGGUAGCCGGCCUGAGAGGGUGACCGGCCACAUUGGGACUGAGAUACGGCCCAGACUCCUACGGGAGGCAGCAGUGGGGAAUAUUGCACAAUGGGCGGAAGCCGGAUGCAGCAACGCCGCGUGCGGGAUGACGGCCUUCGGGUUGUAAACCGCUUUCGCCUGUGACGAAGCGUGAGUGACGGUAAUGGGUAAAGAAGCACCGGCUAACUACGUG
rnacentral:rRNA from 1 species